AACGAACGCUGGCGGCAUGCCUAACACAUGCAAGUCGAACGAGACCUUCGGGUCUAGUGGCGCACGGGUGCGUAACGCGUGGGAACCUGCCCUUAGGUUCGGAAUAACUCCCCGAAAGGGGCGCUAAUACCGGAUAAUGUCUUCGGACCAAAGAUUUAUCGCCUUUGGAUGGGCCCGCGUUGGAUUAGCUAGUUGGUAGGGUAAAAGCCUACCAAGGCGACGAUCCAUAGCUGGUCUGAGAGGAUGAUCAGCCACACUGGGACUGAGACACGGCCCAGGCUCCUACGGGAGGCAGCAGUGGGGAAUAUUGGACAAUGGGCGAAAGCCUGAUCCAGCAAUGCCGCGUGAGUGAUGAAGGCCUUAGGGUUGUAAAGCUCUUUUACCCGGGAUGAUAAUGACAGUACCGGGAGAAUAAGCUCCGGCUAACUCCGUG
rnacentral:rRNA from 1 species